rnacentral:rRNA from 1 species
GGGGGGCGGGGGGGGGGGGCGGAGGGCAGGCGGGUCGAGCGGGAAGGCCCGGCUUGCGGGGUACUCGAGGGGCGAACGGGGGAGUAACACGUUGGUGAUCUGCCCUGCACUUCGGGAUAAGCCUGGGAGACUGGGUCUAAUACCGUAUAGGAGCCAUUUUUAGUGAGAUGGUGGGAACGUUUUUUCGGUGUAGGAUGAGCUCGCGGCCUAUCAGCUUGUUGGUGGGGUACUGGCCUACCAAGGCGGCGACGGGUAGCCGGCCUGAGAGGGUGGACGGCCACAUUGGGACGGAGAUACGGCCUAGACUCCUACGGGAGGCAGCAGUGGGGAAUAUUGCACAAUGGGCGCAAGCCUGAUGCAGCGACGCCGCGUGGGGGAUGACGGCCUUCGGGUUGUAAACUCCUUUCGCUAGGGACGAAGCUUUUUGUGACGGUACCUAGAGAAGAAGCACCGGCUAACUACGUG